GUGAUGGAGGAGCUUCAGCGCGAUCUGGACAGAAAUAACAUCCAUUACAUUGAUGAGCUGAAGGGAAGAUGGGACGACUUCUGGAAAAAGCUGCUGAAACCCCCAGUAGGAAUGGACAAAGCGGAUUGUUGGCCGCCUCCCGCUGUCAGCGGCGAACACCCGGAUUUCUCCAUCGUCCCAGCGCUGCAACAAAAGGUUUUUAACUUUUCUCCCGGGGCAGCCAUCGAGCCGUCCCGGUCCGGUUUUUGCCUCGAGCCGAUACCUCUGCCGUUGGUAGCUGGCUGUCGGCUGCCUCCCGCCCGUCCUCCGUGCCUCGCCCACUGCCACAAUACGGACCGUCUUCUCCCCUGUGCCGGACGAGUCUUCCCGUCUCCGUGUUUGGCUAACGGCUAGCUCCGGGCUAACGGCUAGCUCCGGGCUAACGGCUAGCUCCGGGCUAACACCUUCGGCGACCGGCAUGAAGCCCAAGUACUCUGUCCCACGGCUGCUAACUCUCGACAACCGCUCCAUUCCAACGUGCAUUGCAGCCAUCAAAGAACUUUGACGGCCGCUGGUCAAAAGUUUUUUUUUUUUUUUUGUUAUUUUUAUAUGAUACGUAACGCUACCGUACCGGCCUGUAGACCGGCCGCUUAGCUGCCGCGGAACGCAGCUGUGUGUCUGUGUGUGUUUCAGACCGGGCCAAACCAAUACUUCCAAUCUUGAGGGGGGGGGAUACGAGCGGCCCCUCCCAACUUGGACUGAUCCUCGUAUUUCCUGACAUCCGAUUGGCUCAAAGGAGUUUACUUGGUUAGGUUUGGGUUUGUGAGAAUGCAACAGAGACAGGCGGUAAAAAUGGCGAAAAGAAGGAAAGAAGAGAAAGAAGAUGGAGAAGACAUUGUAGGAUAUUAGAAACAAAUAUACGACCCGGUUCAUAAAAUUAAUAAAAAUGCAUAUAGUGUACACCAGAAUACAGCCAUGAUUCUGAAACUGUGUAAUCAAUAAAGUAAUGACAAUAGUGUAAAACCACUGUAAUUCUGCAACUGUACUAGAAUAAUACCAAUGCAGUUAUGAUUGUAUUUAAUGUAAUGUAAUCAACUGGAAUGCAUACAUGUAAUACUUGAACAACAACUGAUAUUGACAUUCGAAAUCCGAGUUACAAUGAACUCACCAGAAGACCACUCCCAGAGGUGUGGACACUAACUUUCACACCUUUGAGCAUUGGUAUAAAUACCUGUAGGAAUAUUGUUCUCGGUUCGAUGGUGGAGACACCAGACAGUCACUAUGGGGGGUCAAAGGACUGACCUGGGCCUGUUGGCUGCUGAGACCAGCGGCUCCUCAGCAGAGAUGUUCUUUUCACCACAACACCAUCUCUUUUAUUAAACACAUUUGAUUUAAUCUUUUGAUCUGCGAUGACCUCUGUCCGUCCGGCGUUUCUUCAUUUUUGAACACAACAACAUGGAACUGACUAACACCAGCUGCACCUCCUGUAAAGACUGUGCAAUUUGUGUUUAUCAUAUCCUCUCCAAAUACAACCCCCUCACUGAUGCCUAUCACGUCAUUGGACUGGUUCUUGCUUACGCUCUCUUUCAGUCAAGUGGCCUGUGAGAGGACCUUUUCUACUCCCUAGUUUGUCAAGAACAGACUGAGGAGUGGUCUGAAAUAAAUACA
ensembl:lncRNA